rnacentral:rRNA from 1 species
AUUGAACGCUGGCGGCAUGCCUUACACAUGCAAGUCGAACGGUAACAGGUCUUCGGAUGCUGACGAGUGGCGCACGGGUGAGUAAUACAUCGGAACGUGCCCAGACGUGGGGGAUAACGAGGCGAAAGCUUUGCUAAUACCGCAUACGAUCUAAGGAUGAAAGCAGGGGACCGCAAGGCCUUGCGCGUUUGGAGCGGCCGAUGGCAGAUUAGGUAGUUGGUGGGAUAAAAGCUUACCAAGCCGACGAUCUGUAGCUGGUCUGAGAGGACGACCAGCCACACUGGGACUGAGACACGGCCCAGACUCCUACGGGAGGCAGCAGUGGGGAAUUUUGGACAAUGGGCGAAAGCCUGAUCCAGCAAUGCCGCGUGAAGGAUGAAGGCCUUCGGGUUGUAAACUGCUUUUGUACGGAACGAAAAGGCUCUGGCUAAUACCUGGGGAACAUGACGGUACCGUAAGAAUAAGCACCGGCUAACUACGUG